AUGUCAUGUUGUCUAUGAGCGUCUGCACCUGCACCAGCUCUUUCUUCAACACCUCCACGUCCUCCACUCCAGGCCUCUGAAGCUACAGGAGAGCCAGUGACAGACAGGAUAAGAUGGGAGAGACUGAUGGGAUCUUGGUUCAGAUUGGCCACCUUUUGCUCUAGAACUUCUCUCAAGCUUUUCUCCUCAUCGUAACGAGAUUUGAUGUCUGUGAUUUAAAGCACACACUCAUUUUAAAGCCAUUAACUGGACAAAUGCGUUCAGUAACCAUGCCAGCAGACUUUGAAAAGGCUGUCUAUACAGUCAUCCACCGCCAGAGGGCACUUGCGCACUACAUGUCAUGUCUUGUCUACGUCAGAGAAGAAGAACGGCACAGAUGAAGAUGAAGCAGGCUCAAUGUAAACAGUGUUGGAGCCUUUCACUAUAAAUGAAAAUUAUGUUUUCUGCAUACACCGUAAUAGUGUGUUAAAGUACUACAUUAAAACAAUCA